rnacentral:rRNA from 1 species
GCUAGUAAUCGUAGGUCAGCAUACUACGGUGAAUACGUUCCCGGGCCUUGUACACACCGCCCGUCAAACCAUGAGAGUCGAUAACACCCGAAGCCUGUGAGCUAACCGUAAGGAGGCAGCAGUCGAAGGUGGGGUUGAUGAUUGGGGUGAAGUCGUAACAAGGUAUC